GAGCCGUGUGAAGACCACAAAGCGAACUAUUCUUUCCCUUUUACUGAAGAAUACCAUGUGCCCCCCAUCCAAAUCGGCAUACAUUUAUUAUUAGAGGAGCCUUCCAUAAAUGGAUU
rnacentral:snRNA from 1 species